CAAUGCAAUAGAGGUCGCGGUUGUUACGAAACUAAUCUGAGUGAGCGAACACUUUGAAGGUUAACGUAAGAAUUACCGCCGAAACAAGGAUGUUGUUCGUUUCAAUCUUCUUGUUGGGCUGCAAGAGAAUAUUUUGCAGACUGUCCCGGUUAGUCCCCGGGGAGCGCUAUAUGAUUU
rnacentral:ncRNA from 2 species